CUCCGACAAGAUCGCCGUCACCGCCGCCACGUAAAUCUCCGGGUCGUUCGCGUCCUGCUUCCGAUAGCAGCCGAACAUCAUCCCCGCCCUCAACGAGGCGAAGCCCUGUUGGCCUUGGGCCGAACGAUAUUCCUGCGUCGGCUUGCCGUCUGGCGACGCUUGCAAGGCUUUCCGAUUUUCCACUUGCCACCUCUGCUGGUUGAUCGUUCCAACGCUCCCCAUUCAGGAACGUCUCAGGGUUCAUCCACGAGCGAUCCGGCGGCUUUGUCCGAAUGUACCGCCGCACG
rnacentral:misc_RNA from 1 species